CUACCACAACCGCAAAGACAACCUGCAGAACCUGAAGAACAGGGGCCUUGUCACCGAGGAUGGCAAAGUUGUCUGCACUCUGAAAGAGUUCAACGAGUACAGGCAGUACCUGACCAGGCUGAAGCUGGAGCGGGAGAAAAUAAAGAGGCAAAAAGAGG